rnacentral:rRNA from 1 species
GACGAACGCUGGCGGCGUGCUUAACACAUGCAAGUCGAACGGAAAGGCCCUGCUUUUGUGGGGUGCUCGAGUGGCGAACGGGUGAGUAACACGUGAGUAACCUGCCCUUGACUUUGGGAUAACUUCAGGAAACUGGGGCUAAUACCGGAUAGGAGCUCCUGCUGCAUGGUGGGGGUUGGAAAGUUUCGGCGGUUGGGGAUGGACUCGCGGCUUAUCAGCUUGUUGGUGGGGUAGUGGCUUACCAAGGCUUUGACGGGUAGCCGGCCUGAGAGGGUGACCGGCCACAUUGGGACUGAGAUACGGCCCAGACUCCUACGGGAGGCAGCAGUGGGGAAUAUUGCACAAUGGGCGGAAGCCUGAUGCAGCAACGCCGCGUGCGGGAGGACGGCCUUCGGGUUGUAAACCGCUUUCGCCUGUGACGAAGCGUGAGUGACGGGAAUGGGGAAAGAAGCACCGGCUAACUACGU